rnacentral:rRNA from 1 species
UACGUAGGGUGCGAGCGUUAAUCGGAAUUACUGGGCGUAAAGCGUGCGCAGGCGGUUGUGCAAGACAGGUGUGAAAUCCCCGGGCUUAACCUGGGAACUGCACUUGUGACUGCACAGCUGGAGUGCGGCAGAGGGGGAUGGAAUUCCGCGUGUAGCAGUGAAAUGCGUAGAGAUCGGGAAGAACAUCGGUGGCGAAAGCGCUCUGCUGGACUGCAACUGACACUCAGGGACGAAAGCUAGGGGAGCGAAUGGG